CGUGCCCUACGGGGCGCAGCAGUGGGGAAUAUUGCACAAUGGGCGAAAGCCUGAUGCAGCGACGCCGCGUGAGUGAAGAAGUAUUUCGGUAUGUAAAGCUCUAUCAGCAGGGAAGAAAAUGACGGUACCUGACUAAGAAGCCCCGGCUAACUACGUGCCAGCAGCCGCGGUAAUACGUAGGGGGCAAGCGUUAUCCGGAUUUACUGGGUGUAAAGGGAGCGUAGUCGGCGAAG
rnacentral:rRNA from 1 species